GCCUGGUUGGCUUAGUCAGUAGUGCAUGUGACUCUUGAUCUCAGGGUUGUGAGUUCAAGCCCCACAAUUGGGCG
rnacentral:tRNA from 1 species